GCUUAACGCGAAGAACCUUACCAGGCCUUGACAUGCAGAGAACUUUCCAGAGAUGGAUUGGUGCCUUCGGGGAACUCUGACACAGGUGCUGCAUGGCUGUCGUCAGCUCGUGUCGUGAGAUGUUGGGUUAAGUCCCGUAACGAGCGCAACCCUUGUCCUUAGUUACCAUCAUUAAGUUGGGAACUCUAAGGAGACCGCCGGUGACAAACCGGAGGAAGGUGGGGAUGACGUCAAGUCAUCAUGGCCUUUAUGGCCAGGGCUACACACGUGCUACAAUGGCAGGUACAGAGGGAAGCCAACCGGCGACGGGGAGCUAAUCCCAGAAAGCCUGUCUUAGUCCGGAUUGCAGUCUGCAACUCGACUGCAUGAAGUUGGAAUCGCUAGUAAUCGCAGAUCAGCAUUGCUGCGGUGAAUACGUUCCCGGGUCUUGUACACACCGAACGCGAAGAACCUUACCGGGGUCUUGGUACACACCGGGGGGUCUUGGUACAC
rnacentral:rRNA from 1 species